rnacentral:rRNA from 1 species
CCUACGGGAGGCAGCAGUGAGGAAUAUUGGUCAAUGGACGAGAGUCUGAACCAGCCAAGUAGCGUGAAGGAUGACUGCCCUAUGGGUUGUAAACUUCUUUUAUAUGGGAAUAAAAUGUUCCACGUGUGGGAUUUUGUAUGUACCAUAUGAAUAAGGAUCGGCUAACUCCGUGCCAGCAGCCGCGGUAAUACGGAGGAUCCGAGCGUUAUCCGGAUUUAUUGGGUUUAAGGGGCGCGUAGGUGGAUUGUUAAGUCAGUUGUGAAAGUUUGCGGCUCAACCGUAACAUUGCAGUUGAAACUGGCAGUCUUGAGUACAGUAGAGGUGGGCGGAAUUCGUGGUGUAGCGGUGAAAUGCUUAGAUAUCACGAAGAACUCCGAUUGCGAAGGCAGUUCACUGGACUGCAACUGACACUGAGGCUCGAAAGUGUGGGUAUCAAACAGGAUUAGAUACCCCUGUAGUC